rnacentral:rRNA from 1 species
UACGAAGGGGGCUAGCGUUGUUCGGAUUUACUGGGCGUAAAGCGCACGUAGGCAGAUCGAUCAGUCAGGGGUGAAAUCCCAGAGCUCAACUCUGGAACUGCCUUUGAUACUGUCGAUCUGGAGUAUGGAAGAGGUGAGUGGAAUUCCGAGUGUAGAGGUGAAAUUCGUAGAUAUUCGGAGGAACACCAGUGGCGAAGGCGGCUCACUGGUCCAUUACUGACGCUGAGGUGCGAAAGCGUGGGGAGCAAACAGG